GACGAACGCUGGCGGCGUGCCUAAUACAUGCAAGUCGAACGCUGAAGAGAGGAGCUUGCUCUUCUUGGAUGAGUUGCGAACGGGUGAGUAACGCGUAGGUAACCUGCCUGGUAGCGGGGGAUAACUAUUGGAAACGAUAGCUAAUACCGCAUAAAAUUGAUUAUUGCAUGAUAAUUAAUUGAAAGAUGCAACUGCAUCACUACCAGAUGGACCUGCGUUGUAUUAGCUAGUUGGUGAGGUAACGGCUCACCAAGGCGACGAUACAUGGCCGACCUGAGAGGGUGAUCGGCCACACUGGGACUGAGACACGGCCCAGACUCCUACGGGAGGCAGCAGUAGGGAAUCUUCGGCAAUGGGGGGAACCCUGACCGAGCAACGCCGCGUGAGUGAAGAAGGUUUUCGGAUCGUAAAGCUCUGUUGUAAGAGAAGAACGGGUGUGAGAGUGGAAAGUUCACACUGUGACGGUAUCUUACCAGAAAGGGACGGCUAACUACGUG
rnacentral:rRNA from 1 species